AGCGAACGCUGGCGGCAGGCCUAACACAUGCAAGUCGAACGAACUCUUCGGAGUUAGUGGCGGACGGGUGAGUAACACGUGGGAACGUGCCUUUAGGUUCGGAAUCACUCAGGGAAACUUGUGCUAAUACCGAAUGUGCCCUUCGGGGGAAAGAUUUAUCGCCUUUAGAGCGGCCCGCGUCUGAUUAGCUAGUUGGUGGGGUAAUGGCCCACCAAGGCUACGAUCAGUAGCUGGUCUGAGAGGAUGACCAGCCACAUUGGGACUGAGACACGGCCCAAACUCCUACGGGAGGCAGCAGUGGGGAAUCUUGCGCAAUGGGCGAAAGCCUGACGCAGCCAUGCCGCGUGGAUGAUGAAGGUCUUAGGAUUGUAAAAUCCUUUCACCGGUGAAGAUAAUGACUGUAGCCGGAGAAGAAGCCCCGGCUAACUUCGUGCCAGCAGCCGCCGUAACAC
rnacentral:rRNA from 1 species